rnacentral:tRNA from 1 species
GGUGGCGUAGCUCAGCCUGGUGAGAGCGCGGCCCUGUCACGGCCGAGGUCGCCGGUUCGAAUCCGGUCGUCAUCG